GGUGGAACGUCGCGGGUAUCGCUACCUGAUCCGAGGUCAACCUUGAGAAAAGUUCAGAAGGUUCGUCCGGCGGGCGACGCCUUACGCUCCGAAGCGAGGUGUAUUCUACUACGCUUGACGCAAGACGCCACCGCCGAGGUCUUUGAUGCGCGCCCCCGAGGACGGUGCCCAAUACCAAGUAGAGCUUGAGGGUUGAAAUGACGCUCGAACAAUGUUGCCCCCCGGAAUACCAAGGGGCGCAAUGAGCGUUCAAAGAUUCGAUGAUUUUUUGAUUUCUGCUAUUCACAUUACUUAUCUGAUUUCGAUGCUUUCUUCAUCGAUGCCAGAACCAAAAGAUCCGUUGUUGAAAGUUUUAAUUUAUUUAAUAUUUUUUUCAGACUGCAACGUUUACUGACUGGAGUUUGAUAGUCCUCUGGCGGGUACUAGCCACCCACCAAAAUCGGGGGGGCGCCCCCCGUUUCGAAGGGUGAAGGGACCCCCUCCCGAAGAAACUUUCGAAGUUUUUCUAAAGGUUGAGUUCGGAUCAAGUAGGGAUACCCGUUGAUGUGAGGUGAGUUAAGGAACUGGAGGAAACAAAAACCAGCCAAAUUUAGAAGGGAAAAAAAACU
rnacentral:misc_RNA from 1 species